ACUGUAUAUGUCAGCACCAAAAUACCGACGGAAUCAAAUGACAGCUUACUUCCAACCUACACAACAAAUUUUGCUUUAGGACAAUCAUUGGCGUCGACGUCUGCAAGUAUUUCUGAUGUACGAAGGCCUGAAGAAAGGACUAAUAGUCGCGCAUUAGAUUUGUGUAUCGAAAUUACUGCCGGAGGCGCUGCAUCCUUUGCAAUCAUAAUCAUUGUUCUCUUGGUCAUUAUCUUUAUCCAAAGAAGAAAAUUGAUGAAAGCUGCCUACACAUCUUUGACAGCACGAAGAGAUCAAAACAAUUACAACGAAAUAUCACAUCAAAUGUCAGAUUCUAUAACAGGUCAAUAUUAUGAGGUGACGCCAGUAUCAGAGAUAACAGCUUCAGGAUGUCAAUCGACUGUCCAACAGAACAUCGAUCAAAUACAACACAUUGAUACAUCUGGAUAUCUUAUUCCUUUUAGUAUGCGAGAGACAAGUGGAGAACACUAUCAAUCAGUCGUAGACUAAGUUGAAAAUGUCGUAACAUCUUUUUGUAAAUAUUCACACUCCACGUAUACGCAUAAUCAUGUAUAUAUAUUUUUUAAGUGGACUACAAUUAUUUUAUUCAUAUGUUUUUAUUACUACAAAAUGUAUCCUUAACUGUUGUAGUACUGUAUAAGAUUUGAUAGAAGUUCUAAAGAAAAUGUGUAGGUAGGAAAUUUGUGAAAACACGAUACAGUUUUGAUCCCACGCUGAUGUUUUUACGAAACUUUGCAAACAAGCUACUUUUCUCCUUGUCAAUUCAAAUACGUAAUAAAAAAUAUACCUUCAUGUGCUACUUUUAGCGAGAAAUGGGGUCAGAAAUCAAGACAUUUACUUCAAAUUUCGGUUUCUUGGACAUUUCUAUUCUUAUGGAUAGACAUACCUAAUUUUUACUGGUUUCAAAAGAUGAAAACAAGCGGAUUUUUGUGAAAACAUUUGGAUAAUCUUAUUUACAUAAGUAUGCUCUAAAUUUGUGUAACAAUUUUUUGGAAAUAAUUCAUUUAUAUCAAAGUUUCAUGAUUUAAGAAAAAAACCUGCUUUGUUUGCUGUAUAGUUAUCAAAUUAAAAAAAAAAG